GCACGGGCAGGCUGAGCGUAAAGAGAGGAGGGUUCAUGCCUGUGUAGCAGAGCAGGACGUGGAACUUGGGAGCCACGCCUUCACUUCGGGGCCUGUGGAGAGUGGGCCGGGUCCAGGAGCCCAAGCCUGGGAUGGCUCGCCCCGCCCCAGCCAGCCCAGCCGCCCGCCCUUUCCCACACACCGGCCAGGGGAGGUUGAGAACUGGGCGUGGAAAAGAUACCCUACCUGGUGGCGAGGAAGACUCCACUUCCCGGUCUGCAGCUCGCCCGUCUCUUGCUCAGUGCCGAGCCCUCAGCGUGGACUGGCCUGGCCCUAGGAGUCCCCAUAGACUCUACCUGACAGUGCAGGUGGAGAAUCUAAAGGAAAAGCUCAUUAGCCAGGCCCA
rnacentral:lncRNA from 1 species